rnacentral:rRNA from 1 species
GAUUUACUUCGGUAAUGACGUUGGGAAAGCGAGCGGCGGAUGGGUGAGUAACACGUGGGGAACCUGCCCCUAAGUCUGGGAUACCAUUUGGAAACAGGUGCUAAUACCGGAUAAUAAAGCAGAUCGCAUGAUCAGCUUUUGAAAGGCGGCGUAAGCUGUCGCUAAGGGAUGGCCCCGCGGUGCAUUAGCUAGUUGGUAAGGUAACGGCUUACCAAGGCGACGAUGCAUAGCCGAGUUGAGAGACUGAUCGGCCACAUUGGGACUGAGACACGGCCCAAACUCCUACGGGAGGCAGCAGUAGGGAAUCUUCCACAAUGGACGCAAGUCUGAUGGAGCAACGCCGCGUGAGUGAAGAAGGUUUUCGGAUCGUAAAGCUCUGUUGUUGGUGAAGAAGGAUAGAGGUAGUAACUGGCCUUUAUUUGACGGUAAUCAACCAGAAAGUCACGGCUAACUACGUGCCAGCAGCCGCGGUAAUACGUAGGUGGCAAGCGUUGUCCGGAUUUAUUGGGCGUAAAGCGAGCGCAGGCGGAAAAAUAAGUCUAAUGUGAAAGCCCUCGGCUUAACCGAGGAACUGCAUCGGAAACUGUUUUUCUUGAGUGCAGAAGAGGAGAGUGGAACUCCAUGUGUAGCGGUGGAAUGCGUAGAUAUAUGGAAGAACACC